rnacentral:tRNA from 1 species
UAAGAAUUAGUUUAAAAAUUAAUAAAAACAUUAAAUUGUCAAUUUAAAAACAUUAUAAUAACUAAUAUUCUUAU